rnacentral:rRNA from 1 species
ACUNCUANCGNUGUUCCCCUAANCCAUNCGAGUCAUNUGUUCUUUGUGANCAAGNCGUACUGCUCAGUAACNCGUGAUANCCUGCCCUUGGNUCCGNCAUANCCCCGGGAANCUGGGGAUAAUNCCGGAUAACGCACAUAUGCUGNAAUGCUUUCUNCGUAAANCGGAUUCGUCUGCCCAAGGAUGGGUCUNCGNCCUAUCAGGUAGUAGUGGGUGUANCGUACCUACUAGCCGACAACGGGUACGGGUUGUGAGAGCAAGAGCCCGGAGAUGGAUUCUGAGACAUGAAUCCAGGCCCUACGGGGCGCAGCAGGCGCGAAAACUUUACAAUGCGGGGAACCGUGAUAAGGGGACACCGAGUGCCAGCAUCAUAUGCUGGCUGUCCGGAUGUGUAAAAUACAUCUGUUAGCAAGGGCCGGGCAAGACCGGUGCCAGCCGCCGCGGUAACACCGGCGGCCCGAGUGGUGAUCGUGAUUAUUGGGUCUAAAGGGUCCGUAGCCGGUUUGGUCAGUCCUCCGGGAAAUCUGACAGCUCAACUGUUAGGCUUUCGGGGGAUACUGCCAGACUUGGAACCGGGAGAGGUAAGAGGUACUACAGGGGUAGGAGUGAAAUCUUGUAAUCCCUGUGGGACCACUUGUGGCGAAGGCGUCUUACCAGAACGGGUUCGACGGUGAGGGACGAAAGCUGGGGGCACGAACCGGAUUAGAUACCCGGGUAGUCCCAGCCGUAAACGAUGCUCGCUAGGUGUCAGGCAUGGCGCGACCGUGUCUGGUGCCGCAGGGAAGCCGUGAAGCGAGCCACCUGGGAAGUACGSSCGCAAGGCUGAAACUUAAAGGAAWUGGGCGGKGRAHMMCAA